rnacentral:rRNA from 1 species
UACGAAGGGGGCUAGCGUUGCUCGGAAUUACUGGGCGUAAAGGGAGCGUAGGCGGAUAGUUUAGUCAGAGGUGGAAGCCCAGGGCUCAACCUUGGAAUUGCCUUUGAUACUGGCUAUCUUGAGUACGGAAGAGGUAUGUGGAACUCCGAGUGUAGAGGUGAAAUUCGUAGAUAUUCGGAAGAACACCAGUGGCGAAGGCGACAUACUGGUCCGUUACUGACGCUGAGGCUCGAAAGCGUGGGGAGCAAACAGG